AACCAUAGAAACCUGCGGAGUACCUGCGGAGGGAUCAUUACCGAGUUUACAACUCCCAUACCCAAUGUGAACGUUACCAAACUGUUGCCUCGGCGGGAUCUCUGCCCCGGGUGCGUCGCAGCCCCGGACCAAGGCGCCCGCCGGAGGACCAACCAAAACUCUUAUUGUAUACCCCCUCGCGGGUUUUUUACUAUCUGAGCCAUCUCGGCGCCCCUCGUGGGCGUUUCGAAAAUGAAUCAA
rnacentral:misc_RNA from 1 species